rnacentral:rRNA from 1 species
GAUGAACGCUGGCGGCGUGCCUAAUACAUGCAAGUCGAGCGAACAGACGAGGAUCUUGCUCCUCUGACUUUAGCGGCGGACGGGUGAGUAACACGUGUAUAACCUACCUAUAAUACUGGGAUAACUUCGGGAAACCGGAUCUAAUACCGGAUAACAUGUUGAACCUCAUGGUUCAACAGUUAAAUACUGUCUUUCUGUCACUUAUAGAUGUAUCCGCGCCGCAUUAGCUAGUUGUUAAGGUAACGGAUUACCAAGGCAACGAUGCGUAGCCGACCUGAGAGGGGGAACGGCAAAAAGGGAAGUGAGAAAGGGAAAAGAAGACGACGGGAGGAAGCAGUAGGGAAUGGGCGGCAAUGGGCGAAAGCAUGACGGAGCAAGGCCGCGUGAGUGAAGAAGGACUUCGGAUCGUAAAACUCUGUUAUGAGGGAAGAAAAAAUGUGUAAGUAAAUAUGCACGGAGUGACGGGAACUAAUCAGAAAGCAACGGCUAACUACGUG